AGCAGCCGCGGUAAUUCCAGCUCCAAUAGCGUAUAUUAAAGUUGUUGCAGUUAAAAAAGCUCGUAGUUGAAUUUCGGGAUCAAUCUGCCGGUCGUGCCUCCGGUAUGCACUGGUUUUAUUGGUUUCUCCCUUCUGACGAAUCAUGAUGUCAUUAAUUUGGUGUCAUGGGGAAUCAGGACUGUUACUUUGAAAAAAUUAGAGUGUUUAAAGCAGGCUCACGCUUGAAUACAUUAGCAUGGAAUAAUGAAAUAGGACGUUUGACCCUAUUUUUGUUGGUUUCUAGGAUCGACGUAAUGAUUAAUAGGGAUAGUUGGGGGCAUUAGUAUUCAAUUGUCAGAGGUGAAAUUCUUGGAUUUAUUGAAGACUAACUACUGCGAAAGCAUUUGCCAAGGAUGUUUUCAUUAAUCAAGAACGAAAGUUAGGGGAUCGAAGACGAUCAGAUACCGUCGUAGUCUUAACCAUAAACUAUGCCGACUAGGGAUCGGAUGAUGUUAUUUUUUUAAUGACUCAUUCGGCACCU
rnacentral:rRNA from 1 species